UGGUGAGUAGUGGAGUACUCGUUACUUUGCAUUAUUGAAGUAAUGUGGGACAGGAGAAUGGUAGUGGCCUUAUCUCUUUCGCCACCAUUAAUCAAGAUUGUGGGCCACUAAUCACCAUUAUCAGAUGUCAUUGCACAGCACAACGCCUUCCAAAGGAUUGCAUAUUCAGCUCCAUUAAUAACCAAUAGCCUCCCUUGAUCAAUCACUUCAAAGGGAUGAGGAGCAGUCUGAUAUAUUGAAAUGCUAAAGCCCAGACGAAUCAGAUCCAUAAUGUGAUCAGGGACUCAAAAUAAGAAACACUCUGGAAUCUUGACAUCAAACUUUUUUUUCGUUUUGGAAAGUAAAGUCCACACUGCGAAUUGGAAUUCCUUCAUCAGGGAGAUUGAUCUGUUUUUGACAACCACAAGUGAAGAGCUAAAACUCUGACUAAUUAAUCACACCCAGAAUGUGACCAGGGACUCAUAACAGGAAACACUAUGGGAUCUUGAUAUGAAACUUCCUUGUCUUUUCAGAAAGUAAAGUCGACACUCUGAAAAGAAAAUGAUAUUGCGUGGAAAAGCAGCCUUUGAAUAAAAUUAUUGAAGUUAUGUCGGAGGUGGGGUCAGGGGUGUCCUCCAACAGUGUAACUAGCAAUAAUGCGAUCACCCAUAUUGGAAUUCCUUAAUCGGAGAGAUUGAACUGUUUUCGACAACCACAAGUCUUCUCUGCUCUCCCACUUUCUCUUCUUUUCUUGAAUCUCACCUCUUGUUUCUUUCAUCUCUCAAGGCAAGGAAUGGAUUGUGUGAGCCCAAUCUUGGAUGUUGUAACUCGCGUAUGGAACUGCACAGCCAAGCAUGCAGUCUACAUCAGGGAUCUGCAGGAAAAUAUGGAGUCUUUAAGAAACGCAAUGCAGGAGCUGAAGAAUGUAUAUGAAGAUGUGAAGGGAAGAGUUGAACUUGAAGAGCAACGGCAAAUGAAGCGCACAAAUGAAGUGGACGGCUGGUUCCAUAGCGUCCUAGCCAUGGAACUAGAAGUCAACGAGAUCCUGGAGAAAGGCGAUCAUGAAAUCCAGAAGAAAUGCCCUGAAACUUGUUGCCCCCGAAACUGCCGGUCCAGCUACAAGCUCGGGAAGAAAGCGAGUAAAAAGCUGGGUGCUGUGACUGAAUUAAGGAGCAAGGGACGCUUUGAUGUUGUGGCUGAUGGGUUACCUCAAGCUCCGGUGGAUGAGAGGCCGAUGGAGAAGACUGUGGGCUUAGAUCUGAUGUUUACAGAGGUUUGCAGAUGCAUCCAAGAUGAGGAGCUGGGAAUUAUUGGGUUGUACGGAAUGGGGGGUGCCGGGAAAACUACCAUCAUGACCAAAAUCAAUAAUGAGUACUUCAAAACAUGCAAUGACUUUGAAGUGGCCAUUUGGGUCGUAGUAUCCAGGCCAGCAAGUGUGGAAAAAGUACAAGAAGUCAUUCGCAACAAGUUAGACAUCCCGGAUAAUAGAUGGAGAAACAGAACUGAGGAUGAAAAAGCAAUAGCAAUUUUCAAUGUCUUGAAGGCAAAAAGGUUUGUGAUGCUGCUAGAUGAUGUAUGGGAGCGGCUUGAUCUCCAAAAAGUGGGGGUUCCUUAUCCUAAUUCCCAAAACAAGUCCAAAGUAAUAUUAACAACCCGUUCUCUGGAUGUUUGUCGCGAUAUGGAAGCUCAAAAAAGCAUUAAGGUUGAGUGUUUGACAGAAGAGGAGGCCAUCAAUUUGUUCAAGGAGAAGGUUGGAGAGACCACUCUAAAUUCACAUCCAGAUAUACCCCAGUUUGCCGAAAUUGCUGCUAAAGAGUGCAAAGGUUUACCACUUGCACUCAUCACUAUUGGGAGAGCUAUGGUCGGCAAGAGCACACCACAAGAAUGGGAGCGAGCCAUACAAAUGUUGAAGACUUAUCCAUCAAAGUUUUCAGGUUUGGGAGAUCAUGUAUUUCCGAUUCUAAAAUUCAGUUAUGAUAACUUGAAAAAUGACACCAUCAAGUCUUGUUUUCUAUAUCUUGCUAUAUUUCAAGAGGAUUAUGAAAUCAUGAAUGAUGAUCUUAUAAACCUUUGGAUUGGAGAGGGGUUUUUCGAUGAAUUUGACAACAUACAUGAAGCACAGAACCAGGGGCGCAACAUCAUUGAGCAUCUAAAGGUAGUGUGUCUAUUUGAGAGUGUUAAAGACAAUCAAGUCAAGAUGCAUGAUGUUAUUCGUGAUAUGGCUUUAUGGUUAGCUUCAGAAUAUAGUGGCAACAAGAACAAAAUUUUGGUAGUAGAAGAUGAUACCUUGGAAGCCCAUCAAGUUUCAAAUUGGCAAGAGACGCAACAGAUAUCAUUGUGGAGUAAUAGCAUGAAAUACCUCAUGGUGCCAACAACUUAUCCCAAUCUCUUAACCUUCGUUGUUAAGAAUGUGAAAGUAGAUCCAAGUGGAUUCUUUCAUCUCAUGCUGCCGGCAAUAAAAGUUUUGGAUUUGUCACACACUUCCAUAAGUCGGUUACCUGAUGGGUUUGGCAAAUUAGUUACCUUACAAUAUCUCAAUUUGUCAAAAACAAACCUAAGCCAAUUAUCCAUGGAGCUCAAGUCUUUGACAAGUCUAAGGUGUCUACUAUUGGAUUGGAUGGCAUGUCUUAAGAUAAUUCCCAAGGAAGUAGUAUUAAAUCUCUCAUCAUUGAAAUUAUUUAGCUUAAGAAGAGUUCAUGAAUGGAAGGAAGAGGAAGCCCAUUAUUCAUUCAACCUGGAGGAUGCUAAUGAUUCAUGGGAGAAUAAUAAAGUUGAUUUUGAUAAUAAAGCAUUCUUUGAGGAGUUGAAAGCUUAUUAUUUAUCAAAGGAUUGUCAUGCUUUAUUCGAGGAGUUGGAAGCCAAGGAUUAUGAUUAUAAACCUAGGUAUUUAUGGGAGGAUGAAAACAGAGCAUUAUUAGAGGAGAUGGAAUCCUUGGUACACAUAAAUGAGGUCUCUUUUCCCAUAGAAGGUGCUCCAUCUUUCCAAAUAUUAUUGAGCUCCCAAAAGCUACAGAAUGCCAUGAAGUGGUUAACCCUUGGGAACCUGGAGUGUGUGGCCUUACUCCACUUGCCAAGAAUGAAACAUCUACAGACGCUUGAAAUACGGAUAUGUCGAGAUUUGGAAGAGAUAAAAGUAGAUCCAACACAAGAGAGGAGACGGGGAUUUGUGGUAGAUUAUAUCCCAGGCUCAAACUUCCACAGCCUUUGUAAUAUAAUUAUUUAUCAACUCCCAAACUUGUUAAACUUGACAUGGCUUAUUUACAUCCCAAGCGUUGAAGUUCUUGAAGUAACUGACUGUUAUUCCAUGAAAGAAGUGAUCCGAGAUGAGACUGGAGUUUCACAAAAUCUGAGCAUAUUCUCAAGACUCAGGGUACUCAAAUUGGAUUAUCUACCUAAUCUAAAGAGCAUCUGUGGACGGGCCUUGCCAUUCACUUCCCUGACAGACCUCUCGGUGGAACAUUGCCCAUUCCUAAGGAAGCUGCCGUUGGAUUCCAACAGUGACACCUACAGCUUGAAGACAAUUAAAGGAAGAAGAUGGUGGUGGGAUAGGCUGCAGUGGGAGAAUGAAACCAUUAAGAACACUUUCAAUCACUACUUCCAAGAUUAACCUUUCUCUUCCAUGAUCUUAUAGGAAUCCAGGGAUCAAUUAUCAGAGUGUACCAGUAUACUAACUAGUCUUAAUCUUCAUACCACUACCUGUAGUUCCCCCUAGUGCCAGGAGUUGAAAGGUAAGAAGUAUAUUUUUAUCCCUUUCCUUUAUACCGAAUGCUAAUUCCUUCUAAGCAGUCUUAAGUGCCUUUUUAGGGGUCUAAGGGCGUGGGUGUAAGCGAGUAUGAAGUCAAAGCCUUGAACCGGAAGUACUCUCCUUCUUAAUGAGUAUCCGAUAAGGUUUCAUGGAUUUUAGUGCGGUGGGUUUUAGGAUGUUUGCCAUAUGUUGAUUUCAAAGGUUAUCGUAUUUUGCAAUUAAUAGAUAUCACGUUUAAAAUAACUGGAAAUUUGUGUGAUUGAUAUUGGAACAUAAUCUGCAACUGUGGUUUGACAGCUCAAUUUAAGACAUCUUGGACGUUUGCUAAUAAUCGAAGAAGAUCAUGUGGUUGUCCUAAAUGGAAGACUAGCUUUUCAUGUGGCUUCUUUGGAUGGUGUGAUCCGAAACUAUGCUUCCAUGGAAGACGAGUAGUGUUACAAAAUUACAAAUACAUAAGAAGUUGUCCAGCUUAGAGAUUGAGGUUGCUAAAGAAAGACUUAAAUACGUUCUUCUAUACACUUGUUGUAUCAUGGAUAUUAAUUGAGUUUUGUAUUUUCUCUGUAAUUUCUCCUUAUGCUCGUCCUGUUUUUUAUGAUGAAAGGUGCAACCUGUUUGCCUCCCUAAAAAUGUAAAGAUUUGGUAUCGAUUUAUGACAAAUGUUGAAAAUAAUGUUAUGUUAUGGA